rnacentral:lncRNA from 1 species
AAUAAUGAAUGUCAAAGGAAACGUAAUUCCUCCAGUGCUGGUUGUCUCAACUGCGAUUGUUGUGGUUUGGAAAUGUAUCAACACCCAAGAAGGCUCUCUCUUGUGGAUGUAUCACUUAAAACACCCAGAAGUUGUUGACGGCGGCGGGCAGAAGGGCCGGUGGUUUCCAAGCUGCUUCAACAAUGGGACCCACAAUCCUCAAGCAGAGGAAGAAGAAGACAUAGACAAAGAAAAAGAGAAAGAAAAAAGAAAAGAAGAUGACAAAAAAAGAGCUUCGGCUAUGGAACUGGUUUAAUCCAUACGAUCGCCCAGAGGUGCUGACGGUGACCAGCUGGAAUGAGCCGGUUGUGUGGGAAGGCACUUAGAACAGAACCAUCCUAGAAAAUUAUUAUGCCAAACAGAAAAUUACUGUGGGUUGACGGUUUUUGCUGUCGGAAGACAUGUAGAGUAUUACUUGAAGGAGUUCAUAGCAUCUGCUGAUAGGUACUUCAUGGUAAGCCACAAAGUCAUGUUUUACAUCAUGGCCGAUAAUCCAGGAUGCUGUUGAUAGAGCUGGGUCCUCUGCGUUUCUUCAGAGUGUUUGAGAUCAAGCCCGAGAAGAGGUAGCAGGUCAUCAGCAUCGUGGGCAUGAAGACCAACAGGGAGCACAUGUUGGCCCACAUCCAACAGGAAGUUGACUUCCUCUUCUGCAUGGAUGUGGACCAAGUGUUCCAAGACAAUUUUGGAGUGGAGACCCUGGGCCAGUCCGUGGCUCAGCUAUAGGCCUGGUGGUACUGGACACAUCCUGAGGAGAAUACUUAGGAGAGGCAGAAGGAGUCGGUGGCAUACAUUCCAUUUGGCCAGGGGGAUUUUUAUUACCACGCAGCCAUUUUUGGUGGAACACCCAUUCACUUUCUCAACAUCACCCAGGAGUGCUUUAAGGGAAUCCUCCAGGACAGGAAAAAUGACCUCGAAGCCAAGUGGCAUGAUAAAGCCACCUAAACAAGUAUUUCUUCCUCAACAUACCCUCUAAGAUCUUAUCACCAGAAUGCUGCUGGGAUUAUCAUUAUAGGUCAUCAUGCAGAUAUUAAAAUUGUCAAGCUAUCUUGGCAGCAAAAAGAAUAUACGUUGGUUAGAAAUGAUGAC